rnacentral:rRNA from 1 species
GUGAGGAAUUUUCCGCAAUGGGCGAAAGCCUGACGGAGCAAUGCCGCGUGCAGGAUGAAGGCCUAUGGGUUGUAAACUUCUUUUCUCAGAAAAGAAUUAUGACGGUAUCUGAGGAAUAAGCAUCGGCUAACUCUGUGCCAGCAGCCGCGGUAAGACAGAGGAUGCAAGCGUUAUCCGGAAUGAUUGGGCGUAAAGCGUCUGUAGGUUGUUUAAAAAGUAUUCUGUCAAAGAUUAGGGCUUAACCCUAGAUAGGCAGAAUAAACUUUUAAGCUAGAGUUUGGUAGAGGCAGAGGGAAUUCCCGGUGGAGCGGUGAAAUGCGUAGAUAUCGGGAGGAACACCAAAGGCGAAGGCACUCUGCUGGGCCAAUACUAACACUGAGAGACGAAAGCGAGGGGAGCAAAUGGGAUUAGAAACCCGAGUAGUCC